AUUGAACGUUGGCGGCAGGCUUAACACAGGCAAUUCGAGCGGAGCGGCGGACGGGUGAGUAAUGCUUAGGAAUCUGCCUAUAAGUGGGGGACAACAUCCCGAAAGGGAUGCAAAUACCGCAACCUAAUAGAGGAGCCUAAGUCGGAUUAGCUAGUUGGUGGGGUAAAGGCCUACCAAGGCGACGAACUGUAGCGGGUCUGAGAGGAUGAACCGCCACACUGGAACUGAGACACGGCCCAGCCUCCGACGGGAGGCAGCAGUGGGGAAUAUGGGACAAUGGGGGGAACCCUGAUCCAGCCAUGCCGCGUGUGUCAAGAAGGCCUUAUGGUUGUAAAGCACUUUAAGCGAGGAGGCGUUACUCGCAGAAUAAGCACCGGCUAACUCUGUGCCAGCAGCCGCGGUAAUAC
rnacentral:rRNA from 1 species